UACGUAGGCAGCGAGCGUUGUUCGGAGUUACUGGGCGUAAAGGGUGUGUAGGCGGUUCUUUAAGUUUGGUGUGAAAUCCCCCGGCUCAACCGGGAGGGUGCGCCGAAUACUGAGGGACUAGAGUAUGGGAUGGGAAAGUGGAAUUCCUGGUGUAGCGGUGAAAUGCGUAGAUAUCAGGAGGAACACCUGUGGUGUAGACGGCUUUCUGGACCAUAACUGACGCUGAGACACGAAAGCGUGGGUAGCAAACAGG
rnacentral:rRNA from 1 species